GUCUACAGCAUGCUAUCCUGAACGCACCAGGUCGCAUCUGACCUCAGAAGCCGAGCAUUGGGCCUGAUUAGUACUCUCACCGGAGAGACGAGCUUGAGGCUUUUGCAGACC
rnacentral:rRNA from 1 species